rnacentral:rRNA from 1 species
UGGGGAAUCUUGCGCAAUGGGCGAAAGCCUGACGCAGCAACGCCGCGUGCGGGAUGAAGGCCUUCGGGUUGUAAACCGCUUUCAGCAGGGAAGAAAUUGACGGUACCUGCAGAAGAAGCCCCGGCCAACUACGUGCCAGCAGCCGCGGUAACACGUAGGGGGCGAGCGUUGUCCGGAUUUAUUGGGCGUAAAGCGUGCGCAGGCGGUUUUGUAAGACAGAUGUGAAAUCCCCGGGCUCAACCUGGGACCUGCAUUUGUGACUGCAAGGCUAGAGUACGGCAGAGGGGGAUGGAAUUCCGCGUGUAGCGGUGAAAUUCGUAGAUAUUCGGAGGAACACCAGUGGCGAAGGCGGCUCACUGGCUCGAUACUGACGCUGAGGUGCGAAAGCGUGGGGAGCAAACAGG